rnacentral:rRNA from 1 species
UACGUAGGGGGCAAGCGUUGUCCGGAAUUAUUGGGCGUAAAGAGCGUGUAGGCGGUCCGGUAAGUCAGCUGUGAAAGUCAAGGGCUCAACCCUUGAAAGCCGGUUGAUACUGUCGGGCUAGAGUCCGGAAGAGGCGAGUGGAAUUCCCGGUGUAGCGGUGAAAUGCGCAGAUAUCGGGAGGAACACCUGCGGCGAAGGCGGGUAGCUGGGCCGACACUGACGCUGAGGCGCGAAAGCGUGGGGAGCGAACAGG